rnacentral:rRNA from 1 species
UGGGGAAUAUUGCACAAUGGAGGGAACUCUGAUGCAGCGACGCCGCGUGAACGAAGAAGGCUUUCGAGUCGUAAAGUUCUUUUAUAUGGGAAGAUAAUGACGGUACCAUAAGAAAAAGCCCCGGCUAACUACGUGCCAGCAGCCGCGGUAAUACGUAGGGGGCUAGCGUUGUCCGGAAUCACUGGGCGUAAAGGGUUCGCAGGCGGAAAUGCAAGUCAGGUGUAAAAGGCAGUAGCUUAACUACUGAAAGCAUUUGAAACUGCAUAUCUUGAGAAGAGUAGAGGUAAGUGGAAUUUUUAGUGUAGCGGUGAAAUGCGUAGAUAUUAAAAAGAAUACCGGUGGCGAAGGCGGCUUACUGGGCUCAUUCUGACGCUGAGGAACGAAAGCGUGGGUAGCAAACAGG